rnacentral:rRNA from 1 species
UUGGAGGGCAAGUCUGGUGCCAGCAGCCGCGGUAAUUCCAGCUCCAAUAGCGUAUAUUAAAGUUGUUGCAGUUAAAAAGCUCGUAGUUGAAUUUCGGGAUCAGCAGGUUGGUCGUGCCUCUGGUAUGCACUGGUUUCGCUGAUUCCUCCUUUCUGAAGAACUGUAAUGUCAUUAAUUUGGUGUUGCAGGGAAACAGGACUGUUACUUUGAAAAAAUUAGAGUGUUUAAAGCAGGCUAACGCUUGAAUACAUUAGCAUGGAAUAAUGAAAUAGGACGUUUGAUCCUAUUUUGUUGGUUUCUAGGAUUGACGUAAUGAUUAAUAGGGAUAGUUGGGGGCAUUAGUAUUCAAUUGUCAGAGGUGAAAUUCUUGGAUUUAUUGAAGACUAACUACUGCGAAAGCAUUUGCCAAGGAUGUUUUCAUUAAUCAAGAACGAAAGUUAGGGGAUCGAAGACGAUCAGAUACCGUCGUACUCUUAACCAUAAACUAUGCCGACUAGGGAUCGGAUGAUGUUAAUUUUUUAAUGACUCAUUCGGCGCCUUACGGGAAAC